rnacentral:rRNA from 1 species
AACGAACGCUGGCGGCGUGCCUAACACAUGCAAGUCGAGCGCGAAAGGAGCAAUCCGAGUAGAGCGGCGCACGGGUGCGUAACACGUGGGUAAUCUGCCUCAGGGUUGAGGAUAACUUUCUGAAAGGAAAGCUAAUACUCGGUAAGCUUACGGGGUCUUCGGACUUUGUGAGAAAACUAGACCUCUAUUUAUAAGUUUAGGCCCAGAGAUGAGCCCGCGGCCCAUCAGCUAGUUGGCGGUGUAACGGACCACCAAGGCGACGACGGGUAGCUGGUCUGAGAGGACGAUCAGCCACACUGGAACUGAGACACGGUCCAGACUCCUACGGGAAGCAGCAGUGGGGAAUUUUCCACAAUGGGCGAAAGCCUGAUGGAGCAACGCCGCGUGUGUGAUGAAGGUCUUCGGAUCGUAAAGCACUUUCGACUGGGACGAAAAACCUUUGGCUAACAUCCAGGGGCCUGACGGUACCAGGAGAAGAAGCACCGGCUAACUCUGUGCCAGCCGCCGCGGUAAAAC